GGGGGAGGCAGGGUGCUGAGACAAUCCAGCUGACAUUUUAAGCAGGAAACGCAACCAUCUGAAUGUAAAGGAGAUAAACCCAGUCUUUACACAGACUGUUCACUCUGGGGAAAUUGAGGUAAAGCGGAACAGGAUUUGGAGCUGGGAAAUGAUGACUGGAGCAAGCAUCUUUGAGAUCACCCUGGCUCUCCCUGCUUCGUGGUACCAAAUAUCUGAAAUAAAAAGAUAUCUGUCUACACAGUGGGAGAAGGAGGAUCCGCAGCCGAUACUAGGUCUGUCAGAACUUUGACUUUGAACUUUGAGCGUCUGGAUCUAUAAGAAAUGAAUGUUCUGUUUUUACCGACCCUAGAUAUCAGAUCCUAUUCUAGCAGAGCAAACUGGUUAAGACAAAGGGCCUCUUGAUAUAAACAUUGCUCAACUGCAGCAGAAAAUACAUGUUUUUGCAUGUAUGGGUCCUUGUCUGUCAAAUCUCAAAAGAUGCUAUCUUCCAUCUUCAUUUUAG
rnacentral:lncRNA from 1 species